rnacentral:lncRNA from 1 species
AUCCCGCGUGCUUCCAGACUCUGACCCAUAUCUGCAUUUUAUUGAACAAAUGAAUUUGGCUACUAAAGACUGAUCCUGGGAUGACAUGUUAGAUAUUCCUUCAACCAAGAAUAGAUAACAGGGCAGGAACCAAAAAUUUCCUGGUGCCUCACUCCAAGUUGCAAUAUCAGCUCUUGUCAUAAAGAUAGGAUUCUGCCUUACAUUGAGAACCCGGGAAACGCGUGUCUGCAUAAUGAGCAGCCGGCUUCUUGGGUCAGAUAGAAGAGUGUCUGGUGGGUGACAGAGAACUCGAUGCUGCUCAGCGCCCUAAAAUGCUGGUAUUUGUGUUCUUGCAAAGCAUCCUGGGAAUGUUCAUCAUGCCAGGAAUUAAGGAGAAGGACUAGACGACUAGAAUGCGGAAUCACGAUUCCCUAUUGUGUGCUGUUGCAUCAUUUCUAAUCAGCAUGCCACAGCGGCGACGUUACCACCGCUCUGUCUACAGGUGCCUCUGUCUCUGUACUCCAGCCUC